rnacentral:lncRNA from 1 species
CUGGAACUCUUGGAUAUGUGGUGGUCUGGAGGUGGCUUCACUCUCACCAGGUCCUUCCAUGACUUUCUCAGUGAUGCCACACAGGAAAACUUCCACUCUUAUUCUUCACUUUGAGCCACGUUUCCAUGUUUCGCUGUGAAUACAGAACACCCCACCAGGUCCAGUGACUUGGGAUACAUUCCUUGGC